AUGAAAUUCUUGUGAUAAAAGUGUUCUGUAUCAACUGUGGUUGUGAUUACCCAACUUUGCACAUAGAGUAAAAUUGCACUGAACUAAUUAGAUAGGCACACACAAAUGAAUGCAUGCAGACCUGGUGAAAUCUGAAAAUCGGUGAAUCAUUACCAGUAUCAGUAGGCUGGUUAUGAAGUUCUAGUAUAGCUAUGCAAGAUGUUACAGCCAGGCACGGUGGCUCACACUUGUAAUCCCAACACUUUGGGAGGCUGAGGUGGGUGGAUCACCUGAGGUCAGGAGUUCAA
rnacentral:lncRNA from 10 species